ACCGCGAUAGCUCAGCUGGUAGAGCAUCUUCCCGGUAUGCGGAGGGUCGCCUGGUUCGAUUCUGGCUCGCGGCG
rnacentral:tRNA from 1 species